GCACGGCAGACGGGAGCGUAACACAUUGGUAACCCACCCCUAAGAGGAGGAUAACUCUCCGAAAGGAGAGAUAAUACUCCAUGUGGUGCAGAUCAACAUUGAUUUGCACUAAAGGUUUACUACUUAGGGAGGGGCCUAUGUCCUAUCAGCUAGUUGGUGAGGUAAUGGCCCACCAAGGCUUUGACGGGUACCGGGUGUGAGAGCAUGACCCGGCUCAAUGGGACUGAGACACUGCCCAUACUUCUACGGGAGGCUGCAGUCGAGAAUAUUCCACAAUGGCCGAAAGGCUGAUGGAGCGACGCCGCGUGUAGGAAGAAUCCCCUCGGGGUGUAAACUACUUUUAUUAGGGAAGAACAAAUGACGGUACCCAAUGAAUAAGAGGCUGCUAACUUCGUGCCAGCAGCAGCGGUAAUACGAAGGCCUCAAGCGUUAUCCGGAAUUAUUGGGCGUAAAGCGUCCGCAGGCUGUUUAGCAAGCGUGUCGUCAAAUCUCUGGGCUCAACCCAGGGGCUGCGAUGCGAACUGCUAGACUAGAGGAUGGAAGAGGCAUCUGGAAUUGUCGGUGUAGUAGUAAAAUGCGUUAAUAUCGACAGGAACACCAAAAGCGAAAGCAUGAUGCUAGUACAUUCC
rnacentral:rRNA from 1 species